GGACUCGUAUCAAUGGCACCACGAGGACUUUACUGUCUCCUUUUUCUAAUCAGUGAAACUAAUCUUCCCGUGAAGAAGCGGGAAUAAAUAGAUAAGACGAGAAGACCCCAUGGAGCUUUAAGCUUACUGCACCUCUAUUUUCUAUAACCUCUUAUUAAACGGAAUACUGCUUACUUAGCUUUAGGUUGGGGUGACCGCGGAGUAUAACAUAACCUCCAUGAUGAACAAAACUAUUUUCUUAUCUAAGAACAACAGUUCUAAGAAUUAGUAUUCUAACAUAAAAUGAUCCGAUAAUCGAUCAACGGACUAAGUUACCCUGGGGAUAACAGCGCAAUCCAUUUCAAGAGCCCCUAUCGACAAAUGGGUUUACGACCUCGAUGUUGGAUCAGGAUAUCCUAGUGGUGCAGCAGCUACUGAAGGUUCGUUUGUUCAACGAUUAAAAUCCU
rnacentral:rRNA from 1 species